UAUGUGAUCGUCUCUCGCAUAUCAAUAAGCGGAGGAAAAGAAACUAACAAGGAUUCCCCUAGUAACGGCGAGUGAAGCGGGAAGAGCUCAAAUUUGAAAUCUUAAAGGGUUUCCCUUUACGAAUUGUAGUUUAAAGAAGUGUUUUCUGUUGAGGUUUUGGUAAAAGUUCUUUGGAAUAGGACAUCAUAGAGGGUGAGAAUCCCGUAUUUGACCUUUACUUUCAACUUUGUGAUACACUUUCAAAGAGUCGGAUUGUUUGGGAAUGCAGUCCAAAAUGGGUGGUAAAUUUCAUCUAAAGCUAAAUAUUGGCGAGAGACCGAUAGCGAACAAGUACCGUGAGGGAAAGAUGAAAAGAACUUUGAAAAGAGAGUUAAACAGUACGUGAAAUUGUCAAAAGGGAAGCGUUUGACACCAGUGUUGUUUUUCUGAAAAUCAAUUAAAGAACUGUUUAUGCUAAGCUGUUUAGACUUUAUCAGCUAUCUGCUUAGUUUUGAGCUUUUCUUUAAUGCACUUUUCAGUUAACAAGUCAACAUCAAUUUCUUUUGCUGUAAAAAAGCUUGAGGAAGGUGGCUUGAGAUUCGUCUUAAGUGUUUAUAGCCUCUUGCCUAUGCAGUCGGAGAGAUUGAGGUCUGCAGCGUAGAUCCUUCGGGGCUAAAUGCAUUUGUGCUAAGUUAUAGCAUUUUAUAGACAACUUGUUGACUAUGAUUUGUCUUGUAGCUUACUCGCUUAUGUUAUUUUACCUACGCUUAGGAUGUUGACGAGACUGUCGAUCUC
rnacentral:rRNA from 1 species